AUUGUUUGAUCCUGGCUCAGCACACCAGCAGCCGCGGUAAUAGAGUUUGAUCCUGGCUCAGAUUGAACGCUGGCGGCAUGCCUUACACAUGCAAGUCGAACGGUAACGGGCCUUCGGGUGCCGACGAGUGGCGAACGGGUGAGUAAUACAUCGGAACGUGCCCAGUAGUGGGGGAUAGCUCGGCGAAAGCCGGAUUAAUACCGCAUACGACCUACGGGUGAAAGCGGGGGACCGCAAGGCCUCGCGCUAUUGGAGCGGCCGAUGGCAGAUUAGGUAGUUGGUGGGGUAAAGGCCUACCAAGCCUGCGAUCUGUAGCUGGUCUGAGAGGACGACCAGCCACACUGGGACUGAGACACGGCCCAGACUCCUACGGGAGGCAGCAGUGGGGAAUUUUGGACAAUGGGCGCAAGCCUGAUCCAGCCAUGCCGCGUGCGGGAAGAAGGCCUUCGGGUUGUAAACCGCUUUUGUCAGGGAAGAAAUACGCUGGGCUAAUACCCCGGCGGGAUGACGGUACCUGAAGAAUAAGCACCGGCUAACUACGUGCCAGCAGCCGCGGUAAUAAU
rnacentral:rRNA from 1 species